UGGAUAGCUCAGUUGGUUAGAGUGUGGUGCUGAUAACGCCAAGGCUGCAGGUUGGAUCCCUGUCUGGGACAG